rnacentral:rRNA from 1 species
UGGGGAAUCUUGGACAAUGGGGGCAACCCUGAUCCAGCCAUGCCGCGUGAGUGAUGAAGGCCUUAGGGUCGUAAAGCUCUUUCGCCUGUGAAGAUAAUGACGGUAGCCGGAGAAGAAGCCCCGGCUAACUCCGUGCCAGCAGCCGCGGUAAUACGGAGGGGGCUAGCGUUAUUCGGAAUUACUGGGCGUAAAGGGCGUGUAGGCGGCUUGAUAGGUCAAAGGUGAAAUCCCUCGGCUCAACCGAGGAACUGCCUUUGAAACCAUCUGGCUCGAGGCUGGGAGGGGGUAGCGGAAUUCCUGGUGUAGCGGUGAAAUGCGUAGAUAUCAGGAGGAACACCAGUGGCGAAGGCGGCUACCUGGACCAGUUCUGACGCUGAGGCGCGAAAGCGUGGGGAGCAAACAGGAUUAGAUACCCUGGUAGUCCACGCCGUAAACGAUGAGUGCUAGUCGUCGGCAGGCAUGCCUGUCGGUGACGCAGCUAACGCAUUAAGCACUCCGCCUGGGGAGU